UGUGGUCRAUGACUGGGGUGAAGUCGUAACAAGGUAGCUGUAGGUGAACCUGCAGAAGGAUCA
rnacentral:rRNA from 1 species